GUGCCAGCAGCCGCGGUAAUACGGAGGGAGCUAGCGUUGUUCGGAAUUACUGGGCGUAAAGCGUGCGUAGGCGGUUAUUCAAGUCAGAGGUGAAAGCCCGGGGCUCAACCCCGGAACGGCCUUUGAAACUAGGUAACUAGAAUCUUGGAGAGGUUAGUGGAAUUCCGAGUGUAGAGGUGAAAUUCGUAGAUAUUCGGAAGAACACCAGUGGCGAAGGCGACUAACUGGACAAGUAUUGACGCUGAGGUACGAAAGCGUGGGGAGCAAACAGGAUUAGAAACCCUUGUAGUCC
rnacentral:rRNA from 1 species